GUUGAAGAACGUAGUGAAAUGCGAUACUUGGUGUGAAUUGCAGAAUCCCGUGAACCACCGAGUCUUUGAACGCAAGUUGCGCCCGAAGCCAUUAGGCCGAGGGCACGCCUGCCUGGGUGUCACACACCGUUACCCUCGCGCCAACGUCCAUCGUUGGCCGCGGCGCGGGGCGUGCGCUGACCUCCCGCGAGCGGGGUCUCGUGGUUGGUUGAAAAUCGAGUUCGCGGUCGAGGGUGCCGUGAUGAAAUGGUGGAUGGGCGACGCCCGAGGCCAAUCACGCGCGACUCUGUCCGGCUCGGACUCCUGGACCCCUUCGGCGUCUCCGGACGCUCUUUGGCGAGACCUCAGGUCAGGCGGGGCUACCCGCUGAGUUUAAGCAUAUCAAUAAGCGGAGGA
rnacentral:misc_RNA from 1 species